rnacentral:tRNA from 1 species
UGUAACUCAGUGGUAGAGGGCUUGCCUAGCAUGCAUGAGGCACUGAGUUUGAUCCUCAGCA